GACGAACGCUGGCGGCGUGCUUAACACAUGCAAGUCGAACGGAAAGGCCCUGCUUUUGUGGGGUGCUCGAGUGGCGAACGGGUGAGUAACACGUGAGUAACCUGCCCUUGACUUUGGGAUAACUUCAGGAAACUGGGGCUAAUACCGGAUAGGAGCUCCUGCUGCAUGGUGGGGGUUGGAAAGUUUCGGCGGUUGGGGAUGGACUCGCGGCUUAUCAGCUUGUUGGUGGGGUAGUGGCUUACCAAGGCUUUGACGGGUAGCCGGCCUGAGAGGGUGACCGGCAACAUGGGGACUGGGAUACGGCCCAGACUCCACGGGAGGCAGCAGUGGGGAAUAUUGCACAAUGGGCGGAAGCCUGAUGCAGCAACGCCGCGUGCGGGAUGACGGCCUUCGGGUUGUAAACCGCUUUCGCCUGUGACGAAGCGUGAGUGACGGUAAUGGGUAAAGAAGCACCGGCUAACUACGUG
rnacentral:rRNA from 1 species